AGCGAACGCUGGCGGCAGGCCUAACACAUGCAAGUCGAACGAAGUCUUCGGACUUAGUGGCGGACGGGUGAGUAACACGUGGGAACGUACCUUUUGGUUCGGAACAACUCAGGGAAACUUGAGCUAAUACCGAAUGAGCCCUUCGGGGGAAAGAUUUAUCGCCGAAAGAUCGGCCCGCGUUGGAUUAGGUAGUUGGUGUGGUAAAGGCGCACCAAGCCUACGAUCCAUAGCUGGUCUGAGAGGAUGAUCAGCCACACUGGGACUGAGACACGGCCCAGACUCCUACGGGAGGCAGCAGUGGGGAAUCUUGCGCAAUGGGCGAAAGCCUGACGCAGCCAUGCCGCGUGAAUGAUGAAGGUCUUAGGAUUGUAAAUUCUUUUACCAGGGACGAUAAUGACGGUACCUGGAGAAAAAGCCCCGGCUAACUUCGUGCCAGCCGCCGCGGUAAGAC
rnacentral:rRNA from 1 species